rnacentral:rRNA from 1 species
UGAGGCCUUCGGGUCGUAAAACUCUGUUGUUAGGGAAGAACAAGUUUGAUUUUAUCUGAUUGGUCUUGACGGUACCCAACCAAAAAGCCACGGCUAACUACGUGCCAGCAGCCGCGGUAAUAAGUAGGGGGCAAGCGUUAUCCGGAAUUAUUGGGCGUAAAGCGCGCGCAGGCGGUUUCUUAAGUCUGAUGUGAAAGCCCCCGGCUCAACCGGGGAAGGGCAUUGGAAACUGGGGAACUUGAGUGGAGAAGAAGAAAGUGGAAUUCCCUGUGUAGCGGUGGAAUAAA